rnacentral:rRNA from 1 species
AAAUUGAAGAGUUUGAUCAUGGCUCAGAUUGAACGCUGGCGGCAGGCCUAACACAUGCAAGUCGAGCGGAAACGAGUUAUCUGAACCUUAGGGGGACGAUAACGGCGUCGAGCGGCGGACGGGUGAGUAAUGCCUAGGGAAUUGCCCUGAUGUGGGGGAUAACCAUUGGAAACGAUGGCUAAUACCGCAUGAUGCCUACGGGCCAAAGAGGGGGACCUUCGG